GAUGAACGCUGGCGGCGUGCCUAAUACAUGCAAGUCGAGCGAACAGACGAGGAGCUUGCUCCUCUGACGUUAGCGGCGGACGGGUGAGUAACACGUGGAUACCCUACCUAUAAGACUGGGAUAACUUCGGGAAACCGGAGCUAAUACCGGAUAAUAUAUUGAACCGCAUGGUUCAAUAGUGAAAGACGGUUUUGCUGUCACUUAUAGAUGGAUCCGCGCGGCAUUAGCUAGUUGGGAAGGUAACGGCUUACCAAGGCAACGAUGCGUAGCCGACCUGAGAGGGUGAUCGGCCACACUGGAACUGAGACACGGUCAAGACUCCUACGGGAGGCAGCAGUAGGGAAUCUUCCGCAAUGGGCGAAAGCCUGACGGAGCAACGCCGAGUGAGUGAUGAAGGUCUUCGGAUCGUAAUACUCUGUUAUUAGGGAAGAACAAAUGUGUAAGUAAAUAUGCACGUCGUGACGGUACCUAAUCAGAAAGCCACGGCUAACUACGUG
rnacentral:rRNA from 1 species